CCUUGGCCGGCCACUCCCUCCUCCUUUGGUCAUUUUUCUCACACUCCACUCCCUCACACUCUCCUCUACCUCUCCCCCACGAAAAUGCUGCUGCCCCUUGCUCCCAUGGCCGGCCAUGGCCAUGGAAAGAACUCCAAGAUGAAGCUCCCUCCUCCCUCAAGCUCCUCCUCACCAUGAGAGCCUCCCUCUCCUUCUUCUCCCCAACCCUAGAUGGUUUUCUCUCCUCUUCCUCUUCCUCCAUUGCUAAGAUUGGAUCUUGAUGCAGGUGCAUGUUGGUCCAAGCAUGGAGAAGCUUGAGCUAUCCUCAGAUCAGAAGUUCUUGAGCAAAAUCCAAAUCGAGUGAUUCAAAGUUCCGCAGAUAGAUACGGAAAAGAUCUACAACUUGGCGUUGGUCUCAUCCUCAAAUUCGUUACGGAUUGUCCGUGGUGAAAGCCCUCUUCAAUACCUUCAUUUUGGCGGUGGUUUCACUUCGAUUGACCUCCUGAAACUGAAAUGGUUCACAGGUCAAGAUCUGGUCAGAUAUGACUUUGUCGAAUUAAACCAGGAGCUUGGGAACGAAUCUUUGAGUGAAACAAAUUGGGGGAUGUUUGGGUUAUACCAUGGUGAUAACCGAGAGAGGCAAUUGCUAAGUUGUGAUACUCUCAUACCUUUACUAGACGCGAGCAAUUCCAGAGAAGAAGAAGAAGUGGAAUUGGACAAGGAUUUUUUUUAUAUUGUUGGGAUUCUUAUAUUGAUAGAGUUGAAGAAGUACAGGGACAAAUAAGCCAAGGCAAGCCAUCUUUUGAUCUCUGAUCCGGUGUCUACUUGGAUGUCAUUUGUUGAUGUUCAAAGCACCUUCAUUCUAUGUGUGUUAUUAUCUCUAUUUAUGUCAUCUAUGUGUGUUUGCAAGUGGGGUACUCCCUAGUGGUGAUGCUCCACUAUUUGUCCUUGUGUUAUGGGAUGCAUGGUAACAUGGCCGUGCUAUCCCACUUGGUUAUCUUGUAUGCUCAACUUGAGCAUGUUCCAUCUCAAGAUAGUAACUUACACCACACCCACCCCUUUUGUAGUAUAGAGGUAUCAAUGUCAUGAUCUUGGUGUAUUCUCAACUUGAGAGGAGUAUGCCGUGUACCAUCU